rnacentral:lncRNA from 1 species
UGCCAGGCUGUCACAACGAUAGCUGAAAGUGUAGAAGCAAGUUCAGAAGCAGGUUCAGAAGCUGGGUAACGACCGCAGGCUGCACAGUUUGGAGGGCUUGGAAGAAGACAGAAAGAUGAAUGAAAGUUUUGACUAUUGUAGAGACGUGUUAAAUAGUUAUAAUUAAAAGGGUGACUGAAGGAUGGAUAGUGAAGGCCAGGCUUAGAAGGUCUCAGAUGAAAAUGAACAACUUACUGGGAGCAGAAGCCAAGGUAACUUUUCUUUUGCCUUAGCAAAGAACUUGGCUGGAUGGUGCCCCUGCCCUGGUGACCUGUGAAACUUUGAACUUGAGGGUGAUGAUUUAGGGUAUAUCUGGUGAAAUGAACUUCUAGGCAGCAAAGCUCAAGAGGUAUCUUGUCUGUAUUGAACAGCCUGUGGUGUUCUGUGUGACCAAAUAAAUGACCUCAAGUUGAAACUUAUAUUUAAAUGAGA